AUCUAUGGCCAUGCUACCCUGAACAAGCCCGAUCUUGUCUGAUCGUGGAAGCUAAGCAGGGUCGGGCCUGGUUAGUACUUGGAUGGGAGACCACUUAGGAAGACCAGGUGCUGUAGAUG
rnacentral:rRNA from 1 species